rnacentral:lncRNA from 1 species
AAAUGAUGGAUUUCCAUCUUACAAUUGAAUGCAAGUAGGUUGCAAGGUUGAUGGAAAGUAGAAAAGUUUCCUGACUUGCGUGAACAGAAAAGAAACAUCAAUUUGAAAGGAAACCAUUUAUUUAUUUACUUCCUCUACAGUUUUCCUGACUGCUACAUUUCAUAAGAAGGGAUUGUUUAUGAGGGUCAAGGAGCUGGAGGCCUGGGGAGGAGCUGGUGUUUCUGUUCAAGUUUGAGGGUCCUGGAGCUGGAGCCCAGGGGAGGAGCCAGUGCUGCCACUGAUGUCUUAGGGUCGUGGAGCUGAAGAUCCCAGAGGAGCCGGUGCUGCUAUUCUAGCUUGAGUUUCGUGGAGCUGGAGACCCAGGGAGAAGAUGGUGCUGCUGUUCUAAUUUAAGGAUCGUGAAACAGAAGACCCAGAAAGGAGCUGGUGCUGCCGCUGCUCAGAUCUGAGGGUGUUGGAGCUGGAGCCUGGGGGUGGAGCCAUUGCUGCCAUUGAAGUGUGAGAGUCAUUGAGCUGGAAGUCCAGGAAGCAGCUGGUGCUGCUGUUCUAGUUUGAGGGUUGUGGAGUGCAGACCCAGGCAGGAGCAACAUUGCUGUAGUUCGAGGGUCAGAAAGCUGGCGACCCAGGGAGGAGAGGUCUUGUUCUAGUUUGAUUUUCGUGGAGCUGCAGACCCAGGCAGGAGCAAUGUUGCUGUAGUUCGAGGGUCCGGUAGCUGGCAACCCGGGGAGGAGAAGUCUUGUUCGAGUUUGAGGGUCGUGGAGCUGCCGACCCAGGGAGGAGCAAUUUGGUUGUAAUUUGAGGGUCCAGAAGCUGGAGACCCAGGGAGGAGAGAGAUCUUGUUCUGGUCUGAGGGUUGUGGAGCCACAGACCCAGGGAGGAGCAAUUUUGUUGUAAUUUGAGGGUCAGGAAGCUGGCGACCCAGGGAGGAGAGGUCUUGUUCUAGUUUGAGGGUCGUGGAGCUGCCGACCCAGGGAGGAGCAAUUUUGUUGUAAUUCGAGGAUCAGGAAGCUGGCGACCCAGUGGAGGAGAGGUCUUGUUCUGGUCUGAGGGUCAUGGAGCUGCAGACCCAGGGAGGAGCAAUGUUGUUGUAAUUCGAGGGUGUGGUAGCUGGCAACCUGGGGAGGAGAAGUCUUGUUCGAGUUUGAGGCUCGUGGAGCUGCCGACCAGGGAGGAGCAAUUUUGUUGCAGUUCGAGGGUCAGGAAGCUGGCGACCCAGGGAGGAGAGGUCUUCUUCUGGUCUGAGGGUCGUGGAGCUGCAGACCCAGGGAGGAGCAAUGUUGUUGUAAUUCGAGGGUCUGGUAGCUGGCAACCUGGGGAGGAGAAGUCUUGUUCGAGUUUGAGGCUGGUGGAGCUGCUGAUCAGGGAGGAGCAAUUUUGUUGUAGUUCGAGGGUCAGGAAGCUGGUGACCCAGGGAGGAGAGGUCUUGUUUUAGUUUGAGGGUGGUGGAGCUGCAGACCCAGGGAGGAGCAAUUUGGUUGUAAUUCGAGGGUCUGGAAGCUGGAGACCCAGGGAGGAGAGGUCUUGUUCUAGUUUGAGGGUCGUGGAGCUGCCGAACCAGGGAGGAGAAGUCUUGUUUUAGUUUGAGGGUCGUGGAGCUGCCGAACCAGGGAGGCGCAAUUUGGUUGUAAUUGGAGGGUCCGGAAGCUGGUGACCCACGGAGGAGAUGUCUUGUUCUGGUCUGAGGGUCGUGGAGCUACAUACCCAGGGAGGAGCAAUGUUGUUGUAAUUCGAGGGUGUGGUAGCUGGCAACCUGGGGAGGAGAAGUCUUGUUCGAGUUUGAGGCUCGUGGAGCUGCCGACCAGGGAGGAGCAAUUUUGUUGUAGUUCGUGGGUCAGGAAUCUGGCGACCCAGGGAGGAGAGGUCUUUAGUUUGAGGGUUGUGGAACUGCAGACCCAGGCAGGAGCAAUGUUGUUGUAAUUCAAGGGUCCGGAAGCUGGUGACCCAGGGAGGAGAGGUCUUGUUCUAGUUUGAGGGUCGUGGAGCUGCCGACCCAGGGAGGAGCAAUUUGGUUGUAAUUGGAGAGUCCGGAAGCUGGAGACCCAGGGAGGAGAGGUCUUGUUCUAGUUUGAGGGUCGUAGAGCUGCAGACCCAGGGAGGAGCAAUUCUGUUGUAAUUCGAGGGUCUGGAAGCUGGAGACCGAGGGAGGAGAGGUCUUGUUGUAGUUUGAGGGUCGUGGAGCUGCCGAACCAGGGAGGAGCAAUGUUGUUUUAAUUGGAGGGUCCGAAAGCUGGCGACCCAGGGAGGAGAGGCCUUGUUCUGGUGUGAGGGUCGUGGAGCUGCAGACCCAGGGAGGAGCAAUUUUGUUGUAAUUCAAGGGUCCGGUAGCUGGCAACCCAGGGAAGAGAAGUGUUGUUGGAGUUUGAGGGUCGUGGAGCUGCCGACCCAGGGAGGAGCAAUUUGGUUGUAAUUCGAGGGUCAGGAAGCUGGCGACCCAGGUGAGGAGAGGUCUUCUUCUGGUCUGAGGGUCGUGGAGCUGCAGACCCAGGGAGGAGCAAUGUUGUUGUAAUUCGAGGGUCUGGUAGCUGGCAACCUGGGAAGGAGAAGUCUUGUUCGAGUUUGAGGCUGCUGGAGCUGCUGAUCAGGGAGGAGCAAUUUUGUUGUAGUUCGAGGGUCAGGAAGCUGGUGACCCAGGGAGGAGAGGUCUUGUUUUAGUUUGAGGGUGGUGGAGCUGCAGACCCAGGGAGGAGCAAUUUGGUUGUAAUUCGAGGGUCUGGAAGCUGGAGACCCAGGGAGGAGAGGUCUUGUUCUGGUUUGAGGGUCAUGGAGCUGCCGAACCAGGGAGGAGCAAUUUGGUUGUAAUUGGAGGGUCCGGAAGCUGGUGACCCAGGGAGGAGAGGUCUUGUUUUAGUUUGAGGGUUGCGGAACUGCAGACCCAGGCAGGAGCUAUGUUGUUGUAAUUCAAGGGUCUGGAAGCUGGCGACCCAGGGAGGAGAGGUCUUGUUCUAGUUUGAGGGUCGUGGAGCUGCCGACCCAGGGAGGAGCAAUUUGGUUGUAAUUCGAGGGUCAGGAAGCUGGCGACCCAGGGAGGAGAGGUCUUCUUCUGGUCUGAGGGUCAUGGAGCUGCAGACCCAGGGAGGAGCAAUAUUGUUGUAAUUCGAGGGUCUGGAAGCUGGAGACCGAGGGAGGAGAGGUCUUGUUCUAGUUUGAGGGUCGUGGAGCUGCCGAACCAGGGAGGAGCAAUGUUGUUGUAAUUGGAGGGUCGGAAAGCUGGCGACCCAGGGAGGAGAGGUCUUGUUCUGGUGUGAGGGUCGUGGAGCUGCAGACCCAGGGAGGAGCAAUUUUGUUGUAAUUCAAGGGUCCGGUAGCUGGCAAACCAGGGAAGAGAAGUGUUGUUGGAGUUUGAGGGUCAUGGAGCUGCCGACCCAGGGAGGAGCAAUUUGGUUGUAAUUCGAGGGUCAGGAAGCUGGCGACCCAGGGGAGGAGAGGUCUUCUUCUGGUCUGAGGGUCGUGGAGCUGCAGACCCAGGGAGGAGCAAUGUUGUUGUAAUUCGAGGGUCUGGUAGCUGGCAACCUGGGAAGUAGAAGUCUUGUUCGAGUUUGAGGCUGGUGGAGCUGCUGAUCAGGGAGGAGCAAUUUUGUUGUAGUUCGAGGGUCAGGAAGCUGGUGACCCAGGAAGGAGAGGUCUUGUCUUAGUUUGAGGGUGGUGGAGCUGCAGACCCAGGGAGGAGCAAUUUGGUUGUAAUUCGAGGGUCUGGAAGCUGGAGACCCAGGGAGGAGAGGUCUUGUUCUAGUUUGAGGGUCGUGGAGCUGCCGAACCAGGGAGGAGCAAUGCUGUUGUAAUUCGAGGGUCCGGAAGCUGGCGACCGAGGGAGGAGAGGUCUUGUUCUAGUUUGAGGGUCGUGGAGCUGCCGAACCAGGGAGGCGCAAUUUGGUUGUAAUUGGAGGGUCCGGAAGCUGGUGACCCAGGGAGGAGAUGUCUUGUUCUGGUCUGAGUGUCGUGGAGCUACAUACCCAGGGAGGAGCAAUGUUGUUGUAAUUCGAGGGUGUGGUAGCUGGCAACCUGGGGAGGAGAAGUCUUGUUCGAGUUUGAGGCUCGUGGAGCUGCCGACCAGGGAGGAGCAAUUUUGUUGUAGUUUGUGGGUCAGGAAUCUGGCGACCCAGGGAGGAGAGGUCUUGCUUUAGUUUGAGGGUUGUGGAACUGCAGACCCAGGCAGGAGCAAUGUUGUUGUAAUUCAAGGGUCCGGAAGCUGGUGACCCAGGGAGGAGAGGUCUUGUUCUAGUUUGAGGGUCGUGGAGCUGCCGACCCAGGGAGGAGCAAUUUGGUUGUAAUUGGAGGGUCCGGAAGCUGGAGACCCAGGGAGGAGAGGUCUUGUUCUAGUUUUAGGGUCGUAGAGCUGAAGACCCAGGGAGGAGCAAUUCUGUUGUAAUUCGAGGGUCUGGAAGCUGGAGACCCAGGGAGGAGAGGUCUUGUUGUAGUUUGAGGGUCGUGGAGCUGCCGAACCAGGGAGGAGCAAUGUUGUUGUAAUUGGAGGGUCCGAAAGCUGGCGACCCAGGGAGGAGAGGUCUUGUUCUGGUGUGAGGGUCGUGGAGCUGCAGACCCAGGGAGGAGCAAUUUUGUUGUAAUUCAAGGGUCCGGUAGCUGGCAACCCAGGGAAGAGAAGUGUUCUUGGAGUUUGAGGGUCGUGGAGCUGCCGACCCAGGGAGGAGCAAUUUGGUUCUAAUUCGAGGGUCAGGAAGCUGGCGACCCAGGUGAGGAGAGGUCUUCUUCUGGUAUGAGGGUCGUGGAGCUGCAGACCCAGGGAGGAGCAAUUUUGUUGUAAUUCAAGGGUCCGGUAGCUGGCAACCCGGGUAGGAGAAGUCUUGUUCGAGUUUGAGGGUCGUGGAUCUGCCGACCCAGGGAGGAGCAGUUUGGUUGUAAUUUGAGGGUCCGGAAGCUGGAGACCCAGGGAGGAGAGAGGUCUUGUUCUCGUCUGAGGGUCGUGGAGCUGCAGACCCAGGGAGGAGCAAUUUGGUUGUAAUUCGAGGGUCAGGAAGCUGGCGACCCAGGGAGGAGAGGUCUUGUUCUGGUCUGAGGGUCAUGGAGCUACAUACCCAGGGAGGAGCAAUGUUGUUGUAAUUCGAGGGUGUGGUAGCUGGCAACCUGGGGAGGAGAAGUCUUCUUCGAGUUUGAGGCUCGUGGAGUUGCCGACCAGGGACGAGCAAUUUUGUUGUAGUUCGUGGGUCAGGAAUCUGGCGACCCAGGGAGGAGAGGUCUUGUUUUAGUUUGAGGGUUGUGGAACUGCAGACCCAGGCAGGAGCAAUGUUGUUGUAAUUCAAGGGUCCGGAAGCUGGAGACCCCGGGAGGAGAGGUCUUGUUCUAAUUUGAGGGUCGUAGAGCUGCGGAACCAGGGAGGAGCAAUGUUGUUGUAAUUGGAGGGUCCGAAAGCUGGCGACCCAGGGAGGAGAGGUCUUGUUCUGGUGUGAGGGUCGUGGAGCUGCAGACCCAGGGAGGAGCAAUUUUGUUGUAAUUCAAGGGUCCAGUAGCUGGCAACCCAGGGAAGAGAAGUGUUGUUGGAGUUUGAGGGUCGUGGAGCUGCCGACCCAGGGAGGAGCAAUUUGGUUGUAAUUCGAGGGUCAGGAAGCUGGCGACCCAGGGGAGGAGAGGUCUUCUUCUGGUCUGAGGGUCGUGGAGCUGCAGACCCAGGGAGGAGCAAUGUUGUUGUAAUUCGAGGGUCUGGUAGCUGGCAACCUGGGGAGGAGAAGUCUUGUUCGAGUUUUAGGCUGGUGGAGCUGCUGAUCAGGGAGGAGCAAUUUUGUUGUAGUUCGAGGGUCAGGAAGCUGGUGACCCAGGGAGGAGAGGUCUUGUUUUAGUUUGAGGUUGUUGGAGGUGCAGACCCAGGGAGGAGCAAUAUUGUUGUAAUUCGAGGGUCUGGAAGCUGGAGACCCAGGGAGGAGAGGUCUUGUUCUAGUUUGAGGGUCGUGGAGCUGCCGAACCAGGGAGGAGCAAUGCUGUUGUAAUUGGAGGGUCCGGAAGCUGGCGACCCAGGGAGGAGAGGUCUUGUUCUAGUUUGAGGGUCGUGGAGCUGCCGAACCAGAGAGGCGCAAUUUGGUUGUAAUUGGAGGGUCCGGAAGCUGGUGACCCAGGGAGGAGAUGUCUUGUUCUGGUCUGAGGGUCGUGGAGCUACAUAUCCAGGGAGGAGCAAUGUUGUUGUAAUUCGAGGGUGUGGUAGCUGGCAACCUGGGGAGGAGAAGUCUUGUUCGAGUUUGUGGCUCGUGGAGCUGCCGACCAGGGAGGAGCAAUUUUGUUGUAGUUCGUGGGUCAGGAAUCUGGCGACCCAGGGAGGAGAGGUCUUGUUUUAGUUUGAGGGUUGUGGAACUGCAGACCCAGGCAGGAGCAAUGUUGUUGUAAUUCAAGGGUCCGGAAGCUGGUGACCCAGGGAGGAGAGGUCUUGUUCUAGUUUGAGGGUCGUGGAGCUGCCGACCCAGGGAGGAGCAAUUUGGUUGUAAUUGGAGAGUCCGGAAGCUGGAGACCCAGGGAGGAGAGGUCUUGUUCUAGUUUGAGGGUCGUAGAGCUGCAGACCCAGGGAGGAGCAAUUCUGUUGUAAUUCGAGGGUCUGGAAGCUGGAGACCGAGGGAGGAGAGGUCUUGUUGUAGUUUGAGGGUCGUGGAGCUGCCGAACCAGGGAGGAGCAAUGUUGUUGUAAUUGGAGGGUCCGAAAGCUGGCGACCCAGGGAGGAGAGGUCUUGUUCUGGUGUGAGGGUCGUGGAGCUGCAGACCCAGGGAGGAGCAAUUUUGUUGUAAUUCAAGGGUCCGGUAGCUGGCAACCCAGGGAAGAGAAGUGUUGUUGGAGUUUGAGGGUCGUGGAGCUGCCGACCCAGGGAGGAGCAAUUUGGUUGUAAUUCGAGGGUCAGGAAGCUGGCGACCCAGGUGAGGAGAGGUCUUCUUCUGGUCUGAGGGUCGUGGAGCUGCAGACCCAGGGAGGAGCAAUGUUGUUGUAAUUCGAGGGUCUGGUAGCUGGCAACCUGGGGAGGAGAAGUCUUGUUCGAGUUUGAGGCUGGUGGAGCUGCUGAUCAGGGAGGAGCAAUUUUUUUGUAGUUCGAGGGUCAGGAAGCUGGUGACCCAGGGAGGAGAGGUCUUGUUUUAGUUUGAGGGUGGUGGAGCUGCAGACCCAGGGAGGAGCAAUUUGGUUGUAAUUCGAGGGUCUGGAAGCUGGAGACCCAGGGAGGAGAGGUCUUGUUCUGGUUUGAGGGUCAUGGAGCUGCCGAACCAGGGAGGAGCAAUUUGGUUGUAAUUGGAGGGUCCGGAAGCUGGUGACCCAGGGAGGAGAGGUCUUGUUUUAGUUUGAGGGUUGCGGAACUGCAGACCCAGGCAGGAGCUAUGUUGUUGUAAUUCAAGGGUCCGGAAGCUGGCGACCCAGGGAGGAGAGGUCUUGUUCUAGUUUGAGGGUCGUAGAGCUGCCGACCCAUGGAGGAGCAAUUUGGUUGUAAUUCGAGGGUCAGGAAGCUGGCGACGCAGGGAGGAGAGGUCUUGUUCUGGUAUGAGGGUCGUGGAGCUGCAGACCCAGGGAGGAGCAAUUUUGUUGUAAUUCAAGGGUCCGGUAGCUGGCAACCCGGGUAGGAGAAGUCUUGUUCGAGUUUGAGGGUCGUGGAGCUGCCGAACCAGGGAGGCGCAAUUUGGUUGUAAUUGGAGGGUCCGGAAGCUGGUGACCCAGGGAGGAGAUGUCUUCUUCUGGUCUGAUGGUCGUGGAGCUACAUACCCAGGGAGGAGCAAUGUUGUUGUAAUUCGAGGGUGUGGUAGCUGGCAACCUGGGGAGGAGAAGUCUUGUUGGAGUCUGAGGCUCGUGGAGCUGCCGACCAGGGAGGAGCAAUUUUGUUGUAGUUCGUGGGUCAGGAAUCUGGCGACCCAGGGAGGAGAGGUCUUGUUUUAGUUUGAGGGUUGUGGAACUGCAGACCCAGGCAGGAGCAAUGUUGUUGUAAUUCAAAGGUCCGGAAGCUGGAGACACAGGGAGGAGAGGUCUUGUUCUAGUUUGAGGGUCGUAGAGCUGCAGACCCAGGGAGGAGCAAUUCUGUUGUAAUCCGAGGGUCUGGAAGCUGGAGACCCAGGGAGGAGAGGUCUUGUUGUAGUUUGAGGGUCGUGGAGCUGCCGAACCAGGGAGGAGCAAUGUUGUUGUAAUUGGAGGGUCCGAAAUCUGGCGACCCAGGGAGGAGAGGUCUUGUUCUGGUGUGAGGGUCAUGGAGCUGCAGACCCAGGGAGGAGCAAUUUUGUUGUAAUUCAAGGGUCCGGUAGCUGGCAACCCAGGGAAGAGAAGUGUUGUUGGAGUUUGAGGGUCGUGGAGCUGCCGACCCAGAGAGGAGCAAUUUGGUUGUAAUUCGAGGGUCAGGAAGCUGGCGACCAAGGGGAGGAGAGGUCUUCUUCUGGUCUGAGGGUCGUGGAGCUGCAGACCCAGGGAGGAGCAAUGUUGUUGUAAUUCGAGGGUCUGGUAGCUGGCAACCUGGGGAGGAGAAGUCUUGUUCGAGUUUGAGGCUGGUGGAGCUGCUGAUCAGGGAGGAGCAAUUUUGUUGUAGUUCGAGGGUCAGGAAGCUGGUGACCCAGGAAGGAGAGGUCUUGUUUUAGUUUGAGGGUGGUGGAGCUGCAGACCCAGGGAGGAGCAAUUUGGUUGUAAUUCGAGGGUCUGGAAGCUGGAGACCCAGGGAGGAGAGGUCUUGUUCUAGUUUGAGGGUCGUGGAGCUGCCGAACCAGGGAGGAGCAAUGCUGUUGUAAUUCGAGGGUCCGGAAGCUGGCGACCCAGGGAGGAGAGGUCUUGUUCUAGUUUGAGGGUCCAGAAGCUGGCGACGCAGGGAGGAGAGGUCUCAUUCUAGUUUGAGGAUCAU